rnacentral:rRNA from 1 species
CCUACGGGUGGCAGCAGUGGGGAAUAUUGGACAAUGGGGGCAACCCUGAUCCAGCCAUGCCGCGUGUGUGAAGAAGGCCCUCGGGUUGUAAAGCACUUUCAGUGAGGAAGAACGCCUGGUGGUUAAUACCCAUCAGGAAAGACAUCACUCACAGAAGAAGCACCGGCUAACUCCGUGCCAGCAGCCGCGGUAAUACGGAGGGUGCGAGCGUUAAUCGGAAUUACUGGGCGUAAAGCGCGCGUAGGUGGCUUGAUAAGCCGGUUGUGAAAGCCCCGGGCUCAACCUGGGAACGGCAUCCGGAACUGGCAAGCUAGAGUGCAGGAGAGGAAGGUAGAAUUCCCGGUGUAGCGGUGAAAUGCGUAGAGAUCGGGAGGAAUACCAGUGGCGAAGGCGGCCUUCUGGACUGACACUGACACUGAGGUGCGAAAGCGUGGAUAGCAAACAGGAUUAGAUACCCCAGUAGUC